rnacentral:tRNA from 1 species
UAGCUUAGUUGGUAGUGCGUCUGCCUUGUAAGCGCUAGACCGCGGGUUCGAUUCCCGC